UACGGGGGGGGUAAGCGUUGUUCGGAAUUACUGGGUGUAAAGGGUUCGUAGGCGGUGUGGCAAGUCGGGAGUGAAAUCUCUGGGCUCAACCCAGAGUCUGCUUCCGAAACUGCUGUGCUUGAGUGUGGGAGAGGCGCGUGGAAUUGCAGGUGUAGCGGUGAAAUGCGUAGAUAUCUGCAGGAACACCCGUGGCGAAAGCGGCGCGCUGGACCACUACUGACGCUGAGGAACGAAAGCUAGGGGAGCAAACAGG
rnacentral:rRNA from 1 species